CCUACGGGGGGCAGCAGUGGGGAAUAUUGCAGAAUGGGCGCAAGCCUGAUGCAGCCAUGCCGCGUGUGUGAAGAAGGCCUUCGGGUUGUAAAGCACUUUCAGCGGGGAGGAAGGCGGUGAGGUUAAUAACCUCAUCGAUUGACGUUACCUGCAGAAGAAGCACCGGCUAACUCCGUGCCAGCAGCCGCGGUAAUACGGAGGGUGCAAGCGUUAAUCGGAAUUACUGGGCGUAAAGCGCACGCAGGCGGUCUGUCAAGUCGGAUGUGAAAUCCCCGGGCUCAACCUGGGAACUGCAUUCGAAACUGGCAGGCUAGAGUCUUGUAGAGGGGGGUAGAAUUCCAGGUGUAGCGGUGAAAUGCGUAGAGAUCUGGAGGAAUACCGGUGGCGAAGGCGGCCCCCUGGACAAAGACUGACGCUCAGGUGCGAAAGCGUGGGGAGCAAACAGGAUUAGAUACCCGAGUAGUC
rnacentral:rRNA from 1 species